GAUGAACGCUGGCGGCGUGCCUAAUACAUGCAAGUCGAGCGAAUGGAUUAAGUGCUUGCUCUUAUGAAGUUAGCGGCGGACGGGUGAGUAACACGUGGGUAACCUGCCCAUAAGACUGGGAUAACUCCGGGAAACCGGGGCUAAUACCGGAUAACAUUUUGAACCGAAUGGUUCGAAAUUGAAAGGCGGCUUCGGCUGCAACUUAUGGAUGGACCCGCGUCGCAUUAGCUAGUUGGUGAGGUAACGGCUCACCAAGGCAACGAUGCGUAGCCGACCUGAGAGGGUGAUCGGCCACACUGGGACUGAGACACGGCCCAGACUCCUACGAGAGGCAGCAGUAGGGAAUCUUCCGCAAUGGACGAAAGUCUGACGGAGCAACGCCGCGUGAGUGAUGAAGGCUUUCGGGUCGUAAAACUCUGUUGUUAGGGAAGAACAAGUGCUAGUUGAAUAAGCUGACACCUUGACGGUACCUAACCAGAAAGCCACGGCUAACUACGUGCCAGCCGCCGCAGUAA
rnacentral:rRNA from 1 species